rnacentral:rRNA from 1 species
GUGUCAGCAGCCGCGGUAAUACGUAGGGGGCAAGCGUUGUCCGGAAUCAUUGGGCGUAAAGAGCGCGUAGGCGGUCCGGUAAGUCGGUUGUGAAAACUGGGGGCUCAACCCUCAGAGGCCGACCGAUACUGUCGGGCUAGAGUCCGGAAGAGGCGAGUGGAAUUCCUGGUGUAGCGGUGAAAUGCGCAGAUAUCAGGAGGAACACCAAUGGCGAAGGCAGCUCGCUGGGACGGUACUGACGCUGAGGCGCGAAAGCGUGGGGAGCAAACAGGAUUAGAUACCCUGGUAGUCCACGCCGUAAACGAUGGGCACUAGGUGUGGGAGGUGUCGACUCCUCCCGUGCCGAAGCUAACGCAUUAAGUGCCCCGCCUGGGGAGUACGGCCGCAAGGCUAAA